rnacentral:rRNA from 1 species
AGGUUCCAAAAUUAUUGUUAAGUGAAAAUAAGGUAGUGUUUAUCCAAGCCAACCAGGAAAUGGGCUUAGGAGCGGCCAUUUUUUAAAGACCUCGUAACAGAGCACUGGUUUUAUACAAUUUUGUAUGUAUUGUUAGAUGCACCUAAGAUUUACCGGAUCUAAAUAAUAUACCGAGACCUUGUCCAUAAAUAUUUAUAUGUACAAGUUACAUAGAAUAUAUAUGGGGUAGCGGAACAUUGGGCAUAUCUCAGAUUUUUUCUUUUUAAGACUUAAGAUUAGAUUACCCAAGUGAUAAUGCUGACAUGAGUAACGAUAAAGGGUUUAUACCCUCGCCUAAAGCUUAUGGAAUUUACUUAAAGUAACGGCCUCUAAGUUUAAAUUUGCUAUAGUUUAAACAAACAACACUUGAUACCUAACUCUAACAGACGAUACAAGUGCAAAAUAGUAAACACCUAAUGGUAUAAACGAUGAGAAAAAGCUAAGUUUUACAGAUAUAAAUAGCAUGAGUGUUGCAGGUAGGUAUUAUAUAUAUAAUGGAUUUUUUUUUUAUUCUUUUUAUGCGUUAUUAUCCUUUGCACUAUUCUGG